UGGGGAUCAGAAAUGUCCCGUGCAAGAGAGGCAGGUUAAGGUUUCCAGGGUUACAUGCUGACCAGACCGGACACAUCGCGUGCGCGAGCGUACAUUUAGAAAACCAUGCUAUUCAAUUAUUGCACCCACACUCCCCACGUGCGUCAACGAGCGUCUGCGAUGCCAAGGGCUAAAGUAGAAGUCAUUCCAAAUUCUGACGCAGAUCGCACUGAAAGUCCUGCCUCUCCCACCUCCUCAGUGGUUUAUAGAAGCAGGUACCCAGGUGCCAUUUCCUCAUUGGUUAUACCCACAUGGGUGAUUGAACGUCUAAAUGUUUUUCCGGUUGUCGUGGUAAAAGUGUAGAUGCCAAUCACCAUAUAAAUUCAAAGAUGAGAAAGCCUGGAAGGAGGAGAGAUGACUACAACCGAUUUGGUUGGCCGUUUUAUGUGUGGAUUAAUUGUCGGAGUAGAAGACCUUGUGCAUUUCAGUAUGUGGAGUCCAGACAGUGGUCCUAAACUGCUGAAGGAGAUGGGGAUGCAGGAGGGUGUUACUGACAGGCCAUGUCUACCCAGAGGAGUACAAGCAGCUGUUUGAACUGGUGGAGUGGUUCCAGGAGUUCAUUCAGAGCUGGUUGUAUGAGGAGAUACUGGAGAACACCCAGAAAGAGGGCUGGCUCUAGACACACAGCGGCACCACCAGGACUGGAGGGAUAGUGCAGCCGGGAACUGGGCUGAAAAAACAGAGGCUGCUUGAAGCUACAGAUUCUAGAGGAAUCUAAACCCCUGAGAUGUUGGACUAGUGAAUCACACCUCAUGUCAUGGUUUAGGAUUGUCCUGGGCGGAUGUUGAGAUGUGACACUUUUGGUAUUGGACCUUUUUUAAAAGGAGCUAUGUGUAGAGAUGCUUGUUUAAAAGCCACUAGGUGUCUAAAAGUUGGUCGGUGAAAGGCAGCAGAGACUACACCAUAUAGGCCAUUUUCUAAAGGGUUGAUGAUGGAUAGCAGCAGAAAGGUGACUUUAUUGGCAAAGCAAGGUUGUAACGAGACAAGAUGUGUUCGAACCGUUCGAUCACAUUUUGUCACACUGUGUUAUCCACAGGUUUUUACUGUAGGUUUUUUGCUAACGCAGCACAUGAAGUUAACUGGUUCAUAAUAAUGUGUGAUGAAUGGUACCUACUGCUUGUAUAAUUUAGUGUACAUAUGUAGCAUGUUUGCAUGUACGGACAGUUCAUUCAAUAACAUACACAGUUUGUGGGUAUUUGAGCCUCUUCUGAAUGCUAGGUACUCAAUGUCUGACAGGUUCAGUCACUCAUGAUCAGUAUCAUUCUGUGGUCACUGGUCGUCAUAUCUGCCUGUAGUGUUUCCGAUGGAUAAAGAUAGUGGAUAAUGGAUAAAGAUAGUAUUGUGUUGUUCUCGUGUGUGCUAAGGGCAUUUCAAUUGCCAUAUUGAAUUGUUUCAUUCCAUAAGCAUUGGAGGAAAUGUGAUUGUAUCAAAAUAAA
ensembl:lncRNA